UACGUAGGUUGCGAGCGUUGUCCGGAUUUAUUGGGCGUAAAGCGCGCGCAGGCGGCCACGCAGGUCCAAGGUGAAAGCUCCCGGCCCAACUGGGAGAGGCCCUUGGAAACUGCGUGGCUUGAAGGCGGGAGAGGCAAAUGGAAUUCCCGGUGUAGCGGUAAAAUGCGUAGAUACCGGGAGGAACACCAGUGGCGAAGGCGAUUUGCUGGCCCGCCCUUGACGCUCAGGCGCGAAAGCUAGGGGAGCGACC
rnacentral:rRNA from 1 species